rnacentral:lncRNA from 9 species
UUUUUUUUUUUUUUUUUGGCCACACGUAUGGCAUAUGGAAGUUCCCGAGUCAGGGAUCGAAUCUGAGCCACAGUGCUGUGACCUAUGCCAUAGAUGUGGCAACACUGGAUCCUUAACCUACUGUACCACAGUGGGAAUUUCCCAGAUAAACUUUUUAAUAUCAUUUUUUCCCUUGACGUUAAGAAUUUCACAUUAUUAAAAAUAACAUCAAUAUAAUUUUACAAGAUAGCACAGUAUUUUAUUCUCUGGAUGUACUGCUUCAUUCGACCACUACUUAUUUCAUGCCUACUAUGUGCUAGGCAUUUUUCAAGCGCUGCGUGUAACAGAAAUCACUCAUCUAUUAUCUGUGGAAUGCUUAGGUUGUGUAUAAUUUUUCACCUUUUUUUUUUGUCUUUUGUCCUUUUAGGGCCAUACCUGAGGCAUAUGGAGGUUCCCAGAAAAGGCAAAACAACAACAACAACAAAAACAUGGCUAAAUAAGCUGGUAUUAUUCACACCACAGAAUAUUAUUUAGCCAGAAAAAGGAAUGAACUACUAAGACAUGUUACAACAGAUCAAACCUCAAAAACAUCAUGCUCAGUGAAAACCACCCCCACAAAAGGUCAUGGUGUAUGAUUCCACUGGAAUCAAACUCCCAGAAGAGGUAAUCAGCAGCAACAUAAAGCAGAUUAGUGACUGUGGGAGCUGGGGGCGGGGAUCAGAGGAAUGGGGAGGGGCUGCUUAAUGGGUAUGAGGUUUCCUCUGCAGGGGAAUGAAAAUGUCUUGGAACUAGACGGGCAGUGUUGGCAAAAUAACACUGUGAAUGCAUUAAUGCCACUGAAUUGUGCACUUGCAAAUGGUUAAGGGCUCAUUUCAUGUUACACGAAUUUUACACCACCGCCAUCCAAAGCACGUGGCAAGGCCAGCUUCUAAUCAUCAACGAGCUGUCAGCUGUUCUCUCCCAACUCUACUUCCCAAAGGCAGCCACGCUUUUGAUCUCUCUUCCCUUCGAGUAAUGGAUCCAACAUUUCCAGUGAAAGUUACCCUGCUCUUUCUUCAUUUGCUAAUUUUCAAUGUUACCUAACAACUUCCUAGUAGGACAGAGAAGAGGCAAUUCCCUUAGCUCUCCCAUCACCUCUCCGGAGUUAUACAAGUAUUUUACAGAAUUAUACAAAUAUUUUAAACAAUUAGUCUUCAAAUGCGUGACUAAAGAAAUGUCAUUCAGGGAGUUCCCUGCAUGGCACAGAGGAAAUGAAUCCGACUAGAAUCCAUGAGGAUGUGGGUUUGAUCCCUGGCCUCGCUUAAUGGGUCAGGGAUCCGUGAGGCAGGUCGAAAUCGAGGCUCGAAUCCUGCUGUUGCUGUGGCUGCGGUGUAGGCAGCUCCAAGUGGACCCCUAGCCUGGGAACCUCCACGUGCCGGGGGCACAGCCCUAAAAAAGAGGGAAAAAGAAAAAAAGGAAUGUCAUUCAGCACAGAUCCAAGUACUCAAUUUUUUAUCUUUCUUGGUGUUAAUAAUUCCUUUGUUAUUUUAGCUGCAUAAUUUCCUACAUACAUGUUCUGAACAUUUCCCAAUGACUUUGUUGUGCCAGAUAUUCUGAGGGGUGCCUUGUCUCCAGCUGGCACCCCUCAGUGUCCUCUGCCAUGUGCCUGCACUGGAUCCACUUUUUUAAAAACUUUUUUUGUUGUUGUUCUUUGCUCUUAAUUUUAUGUUUAUUACAGUUGAUUUACAAUGUUCUGUCAAUUUCUGCUGUACAGUCAUAACACGAACAUACAUUCUUUUCCUCAUACUAUGCUCCAUCACGUUCUAACCAAGAGAUUGGACAUAGUUCCCUGUGCUGUACAGUCUGGACCCACUUUUCCUAAUGCUCACUUUCCCCUCUUCCUCUUGCUAAAGUGUAUCCUCCAGGAAAAGGAUCCUCAGAGAUACACUGUUUUCUUUUGCAGCCUAGAUUAUCUGGAGAUAUCUUUGUUCUGCUUUCACACUAUAUAUUAGUCACUUGGCUGGGUACGAAAUAAUAGAUUGAAAAUCUUUUCCCCCAGAAUGUGGGGGCAUGUGACACCUGGCCUUCACUGUCACUCUUGAAAAGUUCAGUACCAUCCAACACUCAUUCCUUUGCCUGAUGCCUGUUUUUCCUCUCUGGAAGCUUGUAGCAUCCCCUCAUUAACCCUAAUAGUCUAAAACUUCACAACGCUAUGCCUUGGUGUGUCUUUUGUUUAUUAUGCUGGCCAUUGGUGAUCUGUAAUUGUGUUCUUUAUACACAUGCUCUGAUUUUUUCACCCCUGUUGCCUCUGUUUCUCUUUCCAGAACUCUAAACAUGUCUCUACUGAACCCUCUGGAUGGAUUCUCCCUGACUCUCAUCUGGUCUCUGAACUCUUCAACUCCCUGUCCUUUUUUGCUACUUUCUGAAAGAUUUCCUCAGCUUUAUCUCCUCAACCUUCCAAUGAAAUUUUGAGUUCCUUGCACUCUUGAACUCUGUAAGAAU